GACGAACGCUGGCGGCGUGCUUAACACAUGCAAGUCGAACGGUGAAGCGCCUUCCUUUUUGGUGGGUGUGGAUGAGUGGCGAACGGGUGAGUAACACGUGAGUAACCUGCCCCCUUCUUCUGGAUAACCGCAUGAAAGUGUGGCUAAUACGGGAUAUUCUGGGUCUGUCGCAUGAUGGGUCUGGGAAAGAUAUUGUUUCGGUGGGGGAUGGGCUCGCGGCCUAUCAGCUUGUUGGUGGGGUGAUGGCCUACCAAGGCGGUGACGGGUAGCCGGCCUGAGAGGGUGGACGGUCACACUGGGACUGAGACACGGCCCAGACUCCUACGGGAGGCAGCAGUGGGGAAUAGUGCACAAUGGGCGCAAGCCUGAUGCAGCGACGCCGCGGGAGGGAUGGAGGCCUGCGGGUUGUGAACCUCUUUCGCCAGUGAAGCAGGCCUGCCUCGUUUGUGGGUGGGUUGACGGUAGCUGGAUAAGAAGCGCCGGCUAACUACGUG
rnacentral:rRNA from 1 species